rnacentral:rRNA from 1 species
GUCCACGCCCUAAACUAUGUCAACUGGUUGUUGGGAAUUCACUUUCUCAGUAACGAAGCUAACGCGUGAAGUUGACCGCCUGGGGAGUACGGCCGCAAGGUUAAAACUCAAAGGAAUUGACGGGGACCCGCACAAGCGGUGGAUGAUGUGGUUUAAUUCGAUGCAACGCGAAAAACCUUACCCACCUUUGACAUGUACGGAACUUGCCAGAGAUGGCUUGGUGCUCGAAAGAGAGCCGUAACACAGGUGCUGCAUGGCUGUCGU